AAUUGAACAACGCAAAAAACAACGUCCAGGUUCCUCCUCACCUUGCCGGCCCGAGGCGCGCCUCCGGGCAGCGCCCACGACUGCCGGCUCCAGAUCGAGGGACACAGGACGAAGAGAAAAGCGCACAAUCUUGGGUGCGGUGCUUCCCGGGCCUUGCGCCUCGUGGGGAGGAUCGCAAUGAUUGAACGUACAU
rnacentral:sRNA from 1 species